rnacentral:rRNA from 1 species
GUGUCAGCAGCCGCGGUAAGACGAAGGAUGCAAGCGUUAUCCGGAUUCAUUGGGUUUAAAGGGAGCGUAGGUGGCCUUAUAAGUCAGUGGUGAAAUCCCGCAGCUUAACUGUGGAAUUGCCAUUGAUACUGUAGGGCUUGAGUACAGAUGCCGUUGGCGGAAUAUGACAUGUAGUGGUGAAAUACAUAGAGAUGUCAUAGAACACCGAUUGCGAAGGCAGCUGACGAAACUGUAACUGACACUGAGGCUCGAAAGUGUGGGGAUCAAACAGGAUUAGAUACCCGGGUAGUCC